CGCGGCCUAUCAGCUUGUUGGUGAGGUAACGGCUCACCAAGGCAACGACGGGUAGCUGGUCUGAGAGGACGAUCAGCCACACUGGGACUGAGACACGGCCCAGACUCCUACGGGAGGCAGCAGCAGGGAAUAUUGCACAAUGGGCGAAAGCCUGAUGCAGCGACGCCGCGUGGGGGAUGAAGGCCUUCGGGUUGUAAACCCCUUUCAGGAGGGACGAAGCGAAAGUGACGGUACCUCCAGAAGAAGCCCCGGCCAACUACGUGCCAGCAGCCGCGGUAAUACGUAGGGGGCGAGCGUUGUCCGGAUUUAUUGGGCGUAAAGAGCUCGUAGGCGGCUCAACAAGUCGGCCGUGAAAGCCCGAGGCUUAACCUCGGGACGCCGGUCGAAACUGUUGUGGCUAGGGUCCGGUAGAAGAGAGUGGAAUUCCCGGUGUAGCGGUGAAAUGCGCAGAUAUCGGGAGGAACACCAGUAGCGAAGGCGGCUCUCUGGGCCGGCACCGACGCUGAGGAGCGAAAGCUAGGGGAGCAAACAGGAUUAGAUACCCUGGUAGUCCUAGCCGUAAACGAUGGGUACUAGGUGUGGCGGAUUCAUUGACAUCUGCCGUGCCGAAGCUAACGCAUUAAGUGCCCCGCCUGGGGAGUACGG
rnacentral:rRNA from 1 species